GGGGUGGACUUGGGCUUGGGCUUGAUUCUGCCUGGGAUCCCUUGGGCUGUGAAAAGGCCACCUUGGGGGCUGCACACUGCUCUGUGGGCUCCCUGAGGGUCCUCCCCUAGUUAUGGCAGCUGGAUAGUCACAAAGGGCUCAGAAGUGCCCUGUACGGGGUUCAUUUUCUGCUGUUAACCAUCUUGUAAUUCUUUUUUCUCCCUUUUUUAAACAGAGCUCUCACUCUGUCACCCAUGGGCAUGAUCUCCGCUCACUGCAACCCCCACCUCCUGGGUUCAAGAGAUUCUCCUGCUUCAGGAGAAUCCCAAGUAGCUGGGAUUAUGGGUGUGCACCACCAUUCCUGGCUAAUUUUUGUAUUUUUAGUAGAGAUGGGGGGUCUCAUCAUGUUGGCCAGGCUGGUCUCGAAUUCCUGAUCUCAAGUGAUCUGCUCACCUUGGCCUCCUAAAGUGCUGGGAUUACAGGCGUGGACCACUGCACCCAGGCCGUCUUGAAAUUCUUGGUAACAUUUCAACAAGGGGCUCUGCAUUCAUUUUCCCCAGGAUCCCAAACUUCAUGUGGACAUCUGCCAGCAGCGCACGCCUUUGGAGCCCCCGUCAUGUGCCCAGCUCUGUCCUAGGCUGGCCACACACACUGCCUCCUUGACUCCUGCCAGCCAUCUGUUACAGGCAUGGUCAUUCUGCAGAUGGGGAAACUGAGACUCAGAGAGCUCCUGAUUCAGGCACUACCAGGUAACACCAGCUUUGAAAAUCAAAUCUGGCCGAUCCCUUUUUAUUCAAACCGAGACCCAGAGCGGCUAGGGUUGGCUCAGGAAGACACAGCCCCUGUGUCUCAGAGCAGGGUUCCCAGCCAUCCCCUAGGGAGCAGUUGGAGACCACCUGCCUCCUGGCUACCUUCUCCAGGCCUCUUUGGAAGGCCCUAUCGGCUGGGGUCAUUUUGCCACAUUUCCUUUCUCCUGGCCAUGGGGAGGACUGUCUCAAUGAGGGGUGAACAAACCCCUGGUUUUAAUCAGACCAGCCACUUCCUCUCAUCAGAGAAGAAACCCGCCCUCUCACAACCAGUUUCUAUAUUUAGACCUGGGGCCUCGCCUCGAGCUGGGCCAGGGCUGGGUGUGGCAGGGCCUGCGGCUGCUUCCGACACUCAGGAAGGAAGUUUCCACCUGUUUCCCAAGAGCCGGAGGCACAGAGCCCGCAGGUCCUAGGCUGAGUGCCAGAUUCUAGAGCCCACAGAAGCCCACAGCCUCCCCACAACAGCUCCACAGCCAUGUGGGGACAAGGCCUAUUUCCCAGACUCAAGAGAAGCCCACGCCCAUUUCAUUCAUUCCUUUAUGGACCUGGUGUUUCCUGGGUGCCUCCCACAAUCCAGGUGCCAUUUUAGACUCUGGGGUACGGCUGGGAACAAGACAGGCCCCUGCCCUGAUGGAGCUGACAGUCUAAUGGGGAUGAAAGAAGUAAAUAAAAUAAAAAUAAAUUAAAAAUAAAUGAGUAGAACAGAAAUCGGAUACCUAAGGAAGGGCAAUGAAGGCAUAAAUCAGGCAGAUGGGCUGAGCGGCAGGGCAGAAAGGGGCAACACCACGGGCGGGGUUCAGGACCUCUGCGGGCCCCUGGGGUGUGGAAGGACCUGGAAUGCAGGGAGGGAGAGACUGAACAGAGCUUAAGGCAGAGAGGACAGAGGGUGCCAACGUCAGAGGCCGGGCUCUUGUACCUGGCUGGUGGGAGCCAGGCAAGCUGGAGGCAGAGGUGAGGUCAGCCUGCAGGGCCUGGGGCCAAGGCGCAGGUGUGGAUCUCAAAUAUCAAGAGAAACCACCCAAUGCUUUUGAACCUAGAGUGACAUGCAUCACGAGCUGUGUGGGUUUUUAAAAGCUCACCUCUGCUGUGGUGUCAAGAAAGGGAGGUGAGGGGCCGGGGAGGGAGUCCAGGCCGGCGUGGAGGGUGCUGCCCCAGUAGUCUAGGGCAGUGGCUCUCCACUGGGGGCUUUUCUUCUCCACAGGGGACAUUGAAAGUGUCUGGAGACAUUUUUUGUUGUCAUAAUGGUGGGUGUACUACGGGCACCUGGUGGGCAGAGGUCAAGGGUGCUGCCAAGCAUCCUGCCAUGCCCAGGAUGGUCCCCACAGCAGAGAAAGAUCUGGCCCCAAAUGUCAAAGGGGCUGCGGUUGAGAAAGCCCAGCCUAGUGGGAGGAGCAGGUAGUGACCACGGCGACGGCAGUGGAGGAGAGUGAUAGGCCAGGUCCUGGAUACUGGGUGCAUGGAGGAUACAUGGGGAGUCACGUGGCAUUCUGCUCUGAGUAUUUAAGAGUGACCCAUGAGAGCUGUAAACUCAGGUCCCAAGUGUGGGUGACCUCCAAUGCCCAGGCAAAGGUCCGCCUUGUGUGGGCUCCCCUGCCCAGCAUACAGUGUCUGCAGGACUGUUCUGCACGCAGCUUCAGCAGUGUCCUCAUGUGGUGGCAAGACACCUGACAGCAGAGACCUUUGGCAGCCAACCCCCAAGAGUGGGUUAAGGAAGACUUUGGGGUUCCUGGAAGAUUAAAAGCGAGAGAGGACUGGAGCAGGGGGUUCUGGGCUUCUUGCUAUUAGAGAAUCUGGACACCUGAAUAAUUAAGGAGCAAAGGGACACAGUCAUCUGAGGAUCAUACAUUGAUGGAGUGGCUCAUUCUGACCUCACUAGGGGUUUCCAGGAGAGCCAGGGACAGGGGAGGAGCAUUGCUGGGUCCAGGAAAGGUGCCUGUCACACAUGUGCCUCACUGCCUGGAACAGAAUCAAUGGUCACUGUUCUCUUCAUCUCCAGCCUCGGCGUUUUUCAGUCCCGAUCCUGGGAGAGCACUCCUCAGCUGGCAGACUCCAAAAUACCCAGGAUAAAGGGAAGGCAGGGAUGGUGGGGAUUGCGUGGGAGGGUUCCCCAUCUCCCCCAGCUUCAAACCCCUCCCUCCUCUUCCUAUUUAAAAAUGCUUCCAGUGUGGGCUGGCCAGCUCCAGCUGACAGCACCAGGCACUGUCCCAGACACACUUGAAAACCAUCAAGGGCGGUGAACAAACCCUUCAUCCCUGAGAAAAUGUGGACAGUUAACUGGUACAUGGAAGAAUGGCCAGCCUUGCUGAUCAAAUUAGAAAAAUAUGGAUAAAAAGAUAAAGCCCAGUGCUGCAAAGGAUGCGGGGAAAAGAACACAUCCCUUUGCUGUAAACAGAUCUGAUUUCAAAGAUGCUUCUGUCUGCAUGGAACAAGUCCCAUGCAGCUACAUGAACCCCCGACCCCACACAUCAUCUUGAGGCGGGGUUCUGCAUCCAAGGAAAUAACCCUCAGCCGCAAAAGCAUUCACAGUGGGUGUUAUUUAAAAUGAGAGGCAGAAAAAAGAAAAAUCCCAGACGUCCCUUGCUCACUCUUGUGGAGCACACACACUAUUCGAGGUGCCACACUCACAUUAGCUCUUUCAUCCUGUCCACGGCUCUGUGAUUUGCUUUAUGAGUGUCCCAUUUUACAAUAAGCAGGGGACACACAGAGGCCAGCCCUUCCUCCACGGCCGCUCAGGGGCUCAGAGCUGAGGUCUGAACCCAGGCAGCCCUACCUGGAGCUUGGGUUCCCCUCCCUCCAAGCUGUUUCUUAGCAACAUGAAGGUAACCUUGUCCACUAAAGAGGAGGUGACCACAGCUCCUGGGGAUGUGCCAACACUGGGAUGUGACCCCAAGACAAAGGGCUUCUUUUCCCUUCUGCCUGGUGGUAAAGAACCUGCCGCCUGCCAGGCAUGCCCCGGCCUGUGGUUCUGGAAUGCGGGCGAGCCACCAUCCCCAGAGACCUGUGUUGGUGGCCAGACCCAGCCCACACACCCGAUUGGCACAUAUUCUUGUGUUUGCCCAGGAACGGAGUCAGACCAUUUACUCUGCCUUCGUGGGAGCUGGACAGUUAACACUUAAACACAGUGUUUCCCUCUGGGAAGACGCCUGGGUUGUAGGUGCUGGAAGGCUAGCUCCAGCUCCAGGCACCUGCCACAUAAAGAGUCACCUGCAAAGCAAAUGAUACCGCUUUUCCAUUGACAUUGGUGCAACAGAAUUUCCCCUUAAAAUAAACAUUGUAUAUUUAUUUAAUUUA